rnacentral:rRNA from 1 species
UACCGCGGUUACACGAGAGGCUCAAGUUGAUAACCUACGGCGUAAAGAGUGGUUAAGAACCUCAAUCUAACUAAGUCCAAACACUUUUGGAGCAGUAAUAUGCCUACGGAAGCAAGAAGAACUAUAACGAAAGUGGGCUUAAUAUAGUCUGACCCCACGUAAGCUAGGGAA